CCUACGUGUGGCAGCAGUGAGGAAUAUUGGUCAAUGGACGGAAGUCUGAACCAGCCAUGCCGCGUGCAGGAAGACGGCUCUAUGAGUUGUAAACUGCUUUUGUACAAGGGUAAACCUGAAUACGUGUAUUCAGCUGCAAGUACUGUAAGAAUAAGGAUCGGCUAACUCCGUGCCAGCAGCCGCGGUAAUACGGAGGAUCCAAGCGUUAUCCGGAUUUAUUGGGUUUAAAGGGUGCGUAGGCGGAUUGAUAAGUUUGAGGGGAAAUGUCCGAGCUUAACUCGGGAACUGCCUCUAAUACUGUUGGUCUAGAGAGUGGGUGCGGUAGGCGGAAUGUAUGGUGUAGCGGUGAAAUGCUUAGAGAUCAUACAGAACACCGAUUGCGAAGGCAGCUUACCAAUCUAUAACUGACGUUGAGGCACGAAAGCGUGGGGAGCGAACAGGAUUAGAUACCCCAGUAGUC
rnacentral:rRNA from 1 species